ACCUUCUCUUGGCAGAGCUCGAACCCCUUGGUGAACGCUUCCUGGCCAAAUUGGACAUUCAAGUUCCUCAUCUCCGCGGAGGCCUUGAAUUCUUCCACCGCAAGGGCCCUGGUCUCGGUUCCACCGCAAGGGCCCUGGCCUCCGAGACCAGGGCCGGAGCUUGCUCGACCAAAUGGGCGACCUCGGCCUCUGCCUUCCUCUCCGAUUCCUCCAGGAUCUGCCUCUCCUC
rnacentral:lncRNA from 1 species